rnacentral:tRNA from 1 species
GCGCUCAUAGCUCAGCUGGAUAGAGCAUUUGAUUACGGUUCAAAAGGUCAGAGGUUCGAAUCCUCUUGAGCGCACCA